GUUGGCUUGGAAGCAGCCAUUCAUUUAAAGAGUGCGUAACAGCUCACUAGUCGAGUGCUUUGGCGUGGAUAAUAAUCGGGCAUAAGCUAUUUACCGAAGCUGUGGGAUGUGUAAACAUCGGUAGGGGAGCAUUCUAGCGGCGCUGAAGGUGAGAGGACAACUCUUGCUGGAGCUUCUAGAAAAGCAAAUGUAGGUAUAAGUAACGAUAAAGGAGGUGAGAAACCUCCUCGCCGAAAGACUAAGGUUUCCUGAUCAACGCUAAUCGGAUCAGGGUUAGUCGGGGCCUAAGGGGAAGCCGAACGGCGCACCCGAUGGAAGAACCGGUUAAUAUUCCGGUACUAAUUAUGUGAGCGAUGUGGAGACGGAGAUGUGACGGUCCUGCCAACUGACGGAAUAGUUGGUUGAAGGGUGUAGGAGUUGAUCUGAGUAGGCAAAUCCGCUCGGAGAUCCGAACCUGACAGUACUCUGAGUGCUUGCACGAGGAGAUAUGGACAACUGUAACGGUGCUCCCAAGAAAAUCCGCUAAGCAUAUUGCAUGAUUACCCGUACCAUAAACCGACACAGGUGGUUGGGUUGAGUAUACUAAGGCGCUCGAGUGAUUCGCGGUUAAGGAACUAGGCAAAAUAGUCCUGUAACUUCGGAAUAAAGGACGCUCACAGUGAAGGCUGUGAGCCGCAGAGAAUAGGCCCAGGCGACUGUUUAACAAAAACACAUGGCUAUGCUAAAUCGAAAGAUACUGUAUAUAGCCUGACACCUGCCCGGUGCUGGAAGGUUAAGAGGAGAUGUCAUCGCAAGAGAAGCAUUGAAUUGAAGCCCCAGUAAACGGCGGCCGUAACUAUAACGGUCCUAAGGUAGCGAAAUUCCUUGUCGGGUAAGUUCCGACCUGCACGAAUGGUGUAACGAUCUGGGUACUGUCUCAACCGCGAGCUCGGUGAAAUUGUAGUAUCGGUGAAGAUGCCGAUUACCCGCAACGGGACGAAAAGACCCCGUGAACCUUUACUAUAGCUUUGCAUUGGAUUUGGGUAACAAAUGUGUAGGAUAGGCCGGAGACUAUGAAGCGGGUACGCCAGUAUUCGUGGAGUCGCCGUUGAAAUACGGCCCUUUUGUUAUUUGGGUUCUAACUCGCGGAUGCGAGGACAUUGCAUGGUGGGUAGUUUGACUGGGGUGGUCGCCUCCAAAAGUGUAACGGAGGCUUCUAAAGGUACCCUCAGACCGAUUGGUAACCGGUCGUAGAGUG
rnacentral:rRNA from 1 species